GGAAGCAGCCCAGCCUGGGCCUAGGAAGCAGCCUCGGGGACACCAUGGCCUGGACGCCUCUCCUCCUGGGCCUCCUCGCUCACUGCACAGGCUCCGUGGCCUCAUAUGAUCUGACUCAGCAGUCCUCGAUGUCGGUGACCCUGGGACAGGCAGCCAGGAUCCCCUGUGGGGGAGAUGGCAUUGGAGGUAAAUACGUGCACUGGUACCAGCAGAAGCCAGACCAAGCCCCCAAACUGGUCAUGUAUGAAGAUGACGAUCGGCCCUCGGGGAUCCCUGACCGAUUCUCAGGCUCCAACUCAGGGAACACGGCCACCCUGACCAUCAGCGGGGCCCAGGCUGAGGACGAGGCCGACUACUACUGUCAGGUGUGGGAUAGCAGUGACAUUGCUCACAGUGACACAGGCAGACGGGGAACCGAGGCCCUCCUGAGUUAUGCUGGACCACCCAGAAACCAACCUGCUUCAGUAAGGGCGACUGACCCAGAGCCUCUUCCAUCCUGGGAGAUGAUAGGCCAGGGCAGCGCAGCCGUGAGCUCAGCAGGCAGAGUUGUGGGCAUGGACCUGUGA